rnacentral:lncRNA from 1 species
AAAGAGAUGAUUUUAAAAUUUGCAUGUUCUAGACCAAGUUUAAUGCUUUAUUUGGUACAAUCAUUUGUGUGUGUGUGUGUGUGUGUGUUCAUGUGAACCUGCAGCCGCUACCUUUGGUACACAUUACUACACUUGGAAAACCAGAUGUGAUAUAGAGGCUUUGAUGGGAUUCACAUUUCAGUUUCUUGAUACUAAGGGUGCAGUCACUUUGAUGGAUGGGAAAAGGAGGGAUAACAAAAAUUUAUGCCUUUGAAUGUCUCCUUUCUUUUCCCACAUUUUACACAAAAGAGAAGUUCAC